rnacentral:rRNA from 1 species
AUUGAACGCUGGCGGCAGGCUUAACACAUGCAAGUCGAGCGGGGUGAUGGUGCUUGCACUAUCACUUAGCGGCGGACGGGUGAGUAAUGCUUAGGAAUCUGCCUAUUAGUGGGGGACAACAUCUCGAAAGGGAUGCUAAUACCGCAUACGUCCUGCGGGAGAAAGCAGGGGAUCACUUGUGACCUUGCGCUAAUAGAUGAGCCUAAGUCGGAUUAGCUAGUUGGUGGGGUAAAGGCCUACCAAGGCGACGAUCUGUAGCGGGUCUGAGAGGAUGAUCCGCCACACUGGGACUGAAGCACGGCCCAGACUCCGACGGGAGGCAGCAGUGGGGAAUAUUGGACAAUGGGGGGAACCCUGAUCCAGCCAUGCCGCGUGUGUGAAGAAGGCCUUAUGGUUGUAAAGCACUUUAAGCGAGGAGGAGGCUCUUUUGGUUAAUACCCAAGAUGAGUGGACGUUACUCGCAGAAUAAGCACCGGCUAACUCUGUGCCAGCCGCCGCAGUAA